rnacentral:rRNA from 1 species
UACGUAGGUGGCAAGCGUUGUCCGGAAUUAUUGGGCGUAAAGCGCGCGCAGGCGGUCCUUUAAGUCUGAUGUGAAAGCCCACGGCUCAACCGUGGAGGGUCAUUGGAGACUGGGGGACUUGAGUGCAGGAGAGAAGAGUGGAAUUCCACGUGUAGCGGUGAAAUGCGCAGAUAUCGGGAGGAACACCGGUGGCGAAGGCGGUUCUCUGGGCCUUACCUGACGCUGAGGAGCGAAAGCGUGGGGAGCAAACAGG